CACACUCCACACAGAUUAUAUCUGAAUUGAGGCCAUCCAACUGAAUCAGUGAUGUAACACCAGUAGUUAAGAUUGCUUGGGAUAUAGCAAUAGUUAGCUACACAAUGGUGU
rnacentral:sRNA from 12 species